CAGCAGCCGCGGUAAUACGGAGGGUGCGAGCGUUAAUCGGAAUAACUGGGCGUAAAGGGCACGCAGGCGGUGACUUAAGUGAGGUGUGAAAGCCCCGGGCUUAACCUGGGAAUUGCAUUUCAUACUGGGUCGCUAGAGUACUUUAGGGAGGGGUAGAAUUCCACGUGUAGCGGUGAAAUGCGUAGAGAUGUGGAGGAAUACCGAAGGCGAAGGCAGCCCCUUGGGAAUGUACUGACGCUCAUGUGCGAAAGCGUGGGGAGCAAACAGGAUUAGAUACCCUGGUAGUCCACGCUGUAAACGAUGUCGAUUUGGGGGUUGAACUUUAAGUUUGGCGCCCGUAGCUAACGUGAUAAAUCGACCGCCUGGGGAGUACGGCCGCAAGGUUAAAACUCAAAUGAAUUGACGGGGGCCCGCACAAGCGGUGGAGCAUGUGGUUUAAUUCGAUGCAACGCGAAGAACCUUACCUACUCUUGACAUCCAGA
rnacentral:rRNA from 1 species